UUCCAUCGCGCUUACCUGCAGUCGCACGGGCAGGGGUAACUCUGUCAGUGGCGGACGGGUGAGUAACGCGUAGGUAUCUAUCCUUGGGUGGGGGACAACCACGGGAAACUGUGGCUAAUACCGCAUGACGACCCUGAUCGAGAGGUUGGGGUCCAAAGGCCGCAAGGUCGCCUGGGGAGGAGCCUGCGUCCGAUUAGCUUGUUGGUGGGGUAACGGCCUACCAAGGCUCCGAUCGGUAGCUGGUCUGAGAGGAUGAUCAGCCACACUGGGACUGAGACACGGCCCAGACUCCUACGGGAGGCAGCAGUGGGGAAUAUUGGACAAUGGGCGAAAGCCUGAUCCAGCAAUGCCGCGUGGGUGAAGAAGGUCUUCGGAUUGUAAAGCCCUUUCGACGGGGACGAUGAUGACGGUACCCGUAGAAGAAGCCCCGACUAACUUCGUGCCAGCAGCCGCGGUAAUACGUAGGGGGCUAGCGUUGUCCGGAUUUAUUGGGCGUAAAGCGCGUGUAGGCGGCCAGAUAGGUCUGCUGUGAAAACUCGAGGCUCAACCUCGAGCUGUCGGCGGAAACCAUUUGGCUAGAGUCCGGAAGAGGAGAGUGGAAUUCCCGGUGUAGCGGUGAAAUGCGCAGAUAUCGGGAAGAACACCAGUGGCGAAGGCGGCUCUCUGGGACGGUACUGACGCUGAGACGCGAAAGCGUGNGGAGCANACAGGAUUAGAUACCCUGGUAGUCCACGCCGUAAACGAUGGGUGCUAGGUGUGGGGAGUGUCGACUCUCUCCGUGCCGCAGCUAACGCAUUAAGCACCCCGCCUGGGGAGUACGGCCGCAAGGCUAAAACUCAAUGAAAUUUU
rnacentral:rRNA from 1 species